CCCGCGGGGCGCCCAGCGGCUUAGGGCCGGUGACCACCGGCGUUGCGGGGACCCCGCGGGUGGCGAACGGCUCUUCUAGGGCCCAAGGGUGUCGGGAAUGUUUGUAGCCGGUGCAACCUGGGCCUGCCGGAGGGGCUGCAGCGGGGUUACCGGCCUGGGCUCGGGGUGACUCUCAGGCCGCUGCGGUGGAUGAGGAACAGGAGGAACCGGGUUUCUACCGUCGGUGGAACCUCUUCCUGUGGUUCCCUCCUAGGCAGGCCACCCCAAGUCCCGGCUUCGGUGCCGCAGGCCCUUAAAUAGAAGAAGGUGUUUACUAGUGGAUUCCCGGCUUUGAGCCGGCGCCCGCACAUCCGUAGUUUCUUAUGACCGCUUUCCCCUCUCUUCUGACCCUCAGCCCUACGAAAUUAAAUAAAACGCAGUGGUUUCCACCACCCCCACAAAAGGUCUUCUGCUGCCAGAAUUCAAAUAGUUCGUGCUCAUCACAUAAUUUACUAUACACAUAACUUCUCUCCCUUCUCAAUUUUUAAAAUCGAGACGGAAAUUCGAACGAGAUAGGGAGAGAAUAUCACACUGUCGGGGGCAAGUUGUUUAACGGCUUUGGGUCUCAAUUUGCUCAUCUAUAAAAGGAGUCUGCUACAUUCCAUAACCCUGUGAAAGACCCAACUCCUUUUCAUAACGAGUAUUUUCUAACGCCCCCUUUACCUAUACUGAAAUAACAAAACCUAAAUUGUUUAUGUAAACCUACAAACACAAUUUCAAAAAACAUGAUCUGUCAACAAACGAAAGCAAAAUGAUUAUAAUAAAACAAUGUAUUAUAAUAUGUAAAUGCCGCCGCACAGCUACACUAACUGGUGGGAAGACACUUGCCCAGUAGAGCCACAAAUGCAAACUGGAAAGGUGUGUUGAUUUCACAACUCAAGUUCCAUGAGCAGCAUUGCUACUAGGAACCUCAUUUUCCAAAAUGAUGAACUAUUAAUAAUUUUUAAAUAAAACAGUACAAUCUUCCUUCAAUUGAAACAGUA
rnacentral:lncRNA from 10 species